AUACGUAGGUGGCAAGCGUUGUCCGGAAUUAUUGGGCGUAAAGCGCGCGCAGGCGGUCCUUUAAGUCUGAUGUGAAAGCCCACGGCUCAACCGUGGAGGGUCAUUGGAAACUGGGGGACUUGAGUACAGAAGAGGAAAGCGGAAUUCCACGUGUAGCGGUGAAAUGCGUAGAGAUGUGGAGGAACACCAGUGGCGAAGGCGGCUUUCUGGUCUGUAACUGACGCUGAGGCGCGAAAGCGUGGGGAGCAAACAGGAUUAGAUACCCUGGUAGUCCACGCCGUAAACGAUGAGUGCUAAGUGUUAGAGGGUUUCCGCCCUUUAGUGCUGCAGCUAACGCAUUAAGCACUCCGCCUGGGGAGUACGGCCGCAAGGCUGAA
rnacentral:rRNA from 1 species